UAGCUAGUUGGUGAGGUAACGGCUCACCAAGGCGACGAUGCGUAGCCGACCUGAGAGGGUGAUCGGCCACACUGGGACUGAGACACGGCCCAGACUCCUACGGGAGGCAGCAGUAGGGAAUCUUCCGCAAUGGACGAAAGUCUGACGGAGCAACGCCGCGUGAGUGAUGAAGGUUUUCGGAUCGUAAAGCUCUGUUGUUAGGGAAGAACAAGUGCCGUUCAAAUAGGGCGGCACCUUGACGGUACCUAACCAGAAAGCCACGGCUAACUACGUGCCAGCAGCCGCGGUAAUACGUAGGUGGCAAGCGUUGUCCGGAAUUAUUGGGCGUAAAGGGCUCGCAGGCGGUUUCUUAAGUCUGAUGUGAAAGCCCCCGGCUCAACCGGGGAGGGUCAUUGGAAACUGGGGAACUUGAGUGCAGAAGAGGAGAGUGGAAUUCCACGUGUAGCGGUGAAAUGCGUAGAGAUGUGGAGGAACACCAGUGGCGAAGGCGACUCUCUGGUCUGUAACUGACGCUGAGGAGCGAAAGCGUGGGGAGCGAACAGGAUUAGAUACCCUGGUAGUCCACGCCGUAAACGAUGAGUGCUAAGUGUUAAGGGGGUUUCCGCCCCUUAGUGCUGCAGCUAACGCAUUAAGCACUCCGCCUGGGGGAGUACGGUCGCAAGACUGAAACUCAAAGGAAUUGACGGGGGCCCGCACAAGCGGUGGAGCAUGUGGUUUAAUUCGAAGCAACGCGAAGAACCUUACCAGGUCUUGACAUCCUCUGACAAUCCUAGAGAUAGGACGUCCCCUUCGGGGGCAGAGUGACAGGUGGUGCAUGGUUGUCGUCAGCUCGUGUCGUGAAAUGUUGGGUUAAGUCCCGCAACGAGCGCAACCCUUGAUCUUAGUUGCCAGCAUUCAGUUGGGCACUCUAAGGUGACUGCCGGUGACAAACCGGAGGAAAGGUGGGGAUGACGUCAAUCAUCAUGCCCCUUAUGACCUGGGCUACAC
rnacentral:rRNA from 1 species